rnacentral:lncRNA from 1 species
GAUUUAUCACAUCUGACAAGAGAGUGAGAGUUAGUUUCUGUGACAGCAGCAUCUAAGAGUUACUAUGAAGGGACCAAUGGAAUAGCAUAAAUGAAGCACAUGGAAAGCCGUAAUGUUUUAUCUAAACCUAAAGCCAUAUACCCGUGUCAUGCAUCAACGUGUAGCCAUCCUUUAAAAAUGUUUGCUUCUUGGAUUGCUGAUAGAUUAAAUAUGACCCAAGAUGAUAUAAAUUCCUGGGUGAGUAAGCCAAGUAGGCUUGUCAUCAGCCCAGACCAAAUCAGCAGUGAUAUUGAGAAACCCAGAGUAAUAAGUGAUUAGUGCGCUGAAUUAUGAAACCUAUGUAAGCAUUUACACAUAUAGAUGUAGAGAUGCAAAGUACAGAUUGUAGUUAGUUAAGUUUGGCCAUUCAGGGAGAAAGAAGGAAGGGAGCUCACGUUAUUUGACUAGCUUUCAUGAGUUAGGCUGCUUAUGUAUAUUACAUCUUUUCAUGGUCUGAUGAACCCACUAUGGCCUAUUUGAAACACUGAAUUACGGUAUCAGUUUAGUGCGGCACACAACCAGUAUUUCUUACAUAAAAUACAAUGGAAAAAAUUAAAAAUGAAAUACAGCAAAGGUAUGAAAGGUCUGUCUCAGUUACACAUGUAUGGAUCUGUGUGUAUACGUGGCAUAUUGCACUGCGAUAAAAGACUAUUUCUUACAUCGGGCUGCCAAAAUAUUUGAAAAAAUCACCUAAAAGAGAUAGUUAUUAUGAAAUUCAAUUUACAGAGGCUCAGAGAUCUUAAAUAAUCCGCCCAAGGCCACACGGCUCGCAAACGGCAGAACCCAGUUUACCAAUAUACCACCACAUGCCUUAACCUCCUGGAGAGGCCAGGGCUCGCUGAUGUAUAAAUAAAAGAUAGGCAAAAAGAAGGCACAUUUUAAUAAUUACUAUUUUUUAAUAAUACUAGUUGAAUGACAGUAUUGCUUUCUAAUUUUAUUGUUGAGACUUAACAUUCUCCAGACUCACUGAUUUAUUAACUGUCAUAACCCUAGCCACAGUUUGAACUCCAGCUAAAAAUUUCUUUUCAUUUUCAUCACUUCCAAGCUUGGUUGGAACUGCUAUGCUGUGGGUUCACUUUGUUUUGAUUUCUUUCCCUUGUUAUUCCAGGCACAUCAUUUCACCACCAGGAGCCGCAGACUCCCUUCCUGGCUCCCCCCACCCCCAGCUUCCUGCGAGGUGCAACCGCCCUCAGGCUAAGCCCACCAGCCCAGGGCACACCUGGGUGUCUUGGCAGAUCCCAGUGGCAGAGCGGCUGAGUGGACAGAUUUGCACAUGAAUGCUGCACCUGGACAAAUAGGAAUCAAACCCUUCGGGUCCAAGGGUAAUAUUGCUCCACUGGAUCAUUUUACUGGCUACAGCCUCGGUAUUCUGAGAAAUUCCUUCCCAGCUCAGUGUCUGUAAAACUCUAAGAAUGCUUCUCCCUUUAGCAGACAGACUUCAGAGCGGUUUUAACAAUCUGGAAGUCCCACCGAAAUGAUAGUUUAAUGAUUUUAUGUGUUUUUCUUCUUGAGCCUCCUCUGUUUCUUCAAGACCCACAGAUUUUUAUUUUAUUUUUUAAUACUGUGAGAAGAAGAGCCCUGAUCUUGUCCACAAAGUCCUUCUGCCUAAUAAAAAAAUGAUCAAGCACAAGUACCUAAACCCACAAAGUUGGAGGAAAACCCUCUACAGACCACCCCAAACGUACGCACAAAGCCAAGGAGGUUUCCACUUAAGGGUAGGUGUUAUUUUGCGGGAAUGAGGGUAACAUCUUUGAAUGAGGAGGUGUCACAAGCAGAUAAGGUUAACAGUCAAACAGGUCUGGGAGCAGAACUCCCUCUGGUCAAGCCUAUUUCUCAGGCUGCUGGGCUACUGGGGCGGGGGGGGGGGGGGGGGGGGAAGAAUUUCCAUCUCUUCUAUGCUAGGGAGACGGCAAUGGCUAGCCACUCUUUGAUUAAGGGAGGACAGGACUGGCUACAUACGUUUUAAGGCCAUUGCAAAAAAAAAAAAAAAACAAAACACCAGUUCUUGGAUUUCAAGAUGGUGACCAUGGAACAUUAAACCAAGCAUGGGACCCUGUGAGACUAUACAGGUCACAUGCCCAUGAAGGCCCCCCUGGUGGGGAGGGUUACAUUUUUCACCACCGGUGUCACCUGGAAACAGAGGCAUUAAGUAAAAUGAACCUUCCUUCUAACCCUAUCCCCUGCUACACUGUGUACACAUUUUUACAUGGACGCUCUGGUUACUGUAUUCCAGUGUGUAACUGACAUUUAAGUAUAAUUCACUAAUACCGGGCCCAGGACUAAUUAUUUCAUAUGUAUUAUCUUGUGUUAAUGCUGACAAGAACACUAGGAGGUAAGAAUCACAAUCAUUCCCAUUUCUCAGAUGAGGAAACUAAGGCUUAGGGAGGCUCAUUUAUUGGCCUAAGGUUAUAUACCAGAAAGCAGCAUUCAGCCUGUGUGGGAUGGGACUGGGGGAGGCCAGAGAGGCACUUGCUAUGGGCAAAAACUUCAAGGGGAUGUGAAAAAAUUCAAGUCAUCAAGACAAGUAUUACUUUAAUGUAGUCUUUUAAACUUUUUACUUUGAGAUCAUUGCAGACUGGUAUGUAGUUGUAAGAAAUAAUAUUCUUAGUGCUUUUUACCCAGUUUCUUCCAAAGGUAACAUCUCACAAAACUAUGGAAAAUAUCACAGUUAGGUUAUUGAUAUUGCAACAGUGAAAGUACAGAACAUUUUCAUCUGCACAAGGAUCCCCAGGUUGCUCCAAAUUUCCUCCUCCCACCCCAGCCCCCGCCCCAUCCCAUGUACAGUCGAAAAAAGUCCAAUGCUUCAUCUCCCCAUCUGGAGAAUAAGAAGGAAAAUGUGGUGAGAUUUUUUUUUUUUUUAAAUACCUUGUUGUAUUACUGAUGUUAUUUUUCCCUCUGGUAAUAAGAUUUUACUUGUUUCCCAAGAAAAGCUGCUGGAAAACCUCAUAGUUAAUAUGAGGAAUUUUGUCAGGAUGAUUAUUCCUUUUCUUCAAACCUUUCCUGAGAGCCGCAGAAUACUGUUACUGCACAAAUUCUGUGGCUGUAGAUGCUGAUCUGGACACCCUAUAACAGACACCAUUGCUUGCCUACCCAACACACACCAAGUGCCUUCCAUUACCUCUUUCCUAACAGAAUCCCAUUUUUGUUUCAUUUAUCCUAUAUUUCUUCCAAGUCCAGAGGGGAUAUCUUUUUUUUGUCUAAGCCAGUCAUAAGGAUCUGUUUCCUUUGGUGCUGGUGUAAGACAUGGACAUGGGCUGAAAUUAGGGCCAGUGAAAUAUAAAUUCUGAUGUCUGACCAUCUUGUCAUUCUGAAGACUAAGCCAACACAGAUGAAGACAGAAUGGAAAGAAUGGAAGAAAAAAGAUGAAGCCCAGACAUCCAAUGCCUACAGUAGCCCUUCCUCUGAACAGGUGUUAGGUAAGAGAAUCAGUGUCCUUAUUACUUAACCUGGUUGGAUUGUGAGCUUUCUGUUACCUUAUCUGAUAGAUCCUAAUAUCCUGUGUAAGCUCUGGACCCAGGAACAGAAGAUCCCGUAUCCCUUUUUUACUCUGUGCAAUACAGGGAUCUCACAAUACUGGCCCAUGCUCACCCAUUCCCCUUACAGCUACAAAGUCCAUACUGCCCCUUUAUGGGUCCAUAUACAUGUUAUCAAUGAUUUAUUAUACUUGGGGCCAUUUAAAAAUCACGCUGCAAGUUUCUUCAGUUUUCCUUCUAGGUAUUGCUCAAAGUUGGACAUUUUCCGGCUAGCAAUAGUUUGUAAACUACACGCUCCUUAAUGAGAAGAGCAGAGCAGCAGUCUCUGAUGCAAAUCCCCAUAGGUGAUUUGUGUAGAAUGGGAAAAAGCCUCACAGGUAAUCCACAAAAUGAUCCUGCAUCACACUAGCUUUGCCCACAAGUACCCAUUGUGUUGCUUUAGUAACAAACAUAAUGGGAGAACAAAUUAGCUCAUUCUCUGGGGUAAGCCAGGCAGACUGAGUCCACACCAGAGAGCUCCCCGACUUAGUUGACAAGGCUGCAUUUUCCUGGGGUGCUUCAGACAACUUGUGGAUGACACAGCUGCAGAUCCUGGCUACUCUAGUUUAGUUCCCUAUGGUGCCAGAAACUGUCAUGUGGACAUAACGAUCAGUUGUUAUGAGUAUGAUUCUUGAUGCCUGUGGAGCUGCUUGUUUUCACUCUGCCUUACUGGCCCAUGCUCACCCAUUCCCCUUACAGCUACAAAUUUUGACUGCUGGUCAGUGCACACAGGCUUUGUCAACAUCCACAAGAACAGAAGGGUAGAAACAAAACAAUUACUAGAAUAGUGCUUCUCAAACAUCUGUGGGCACGCAAACCACCUGGAACACUGUUACAAGGCAGAUUAUAAUUCAUUAUGUCCUGGGUGGGGCCUGAGUUCUGAAUUUCUAAUAAGCACCCACGUGAUGCUGAUGCUAUUGGCCCUUGAACUACUCUGAGUAGCAAGAACCUGUAGCACUAGGAUCUGCAAUUGAAUUCCCUGAGAUUGAAUUCAGGCUACAAUAAGACUGGGGAUUUGCUUUAUGUUAGGGGACUUGCAUUAACCAGGUAAGACAGAGCUUGUGGUUCUCUAGUGCCUCUCUAGCGGAUGGAAUCAUGACAUGGGGGGAGGAGGGAGUAAGCAGGCUUUAAUAAAGAGGGAAUAUCAAAAGGACAUGAAGAUGGGGGAUUUCCUUCCAUGACGCAGCAGGUUAAGAAGCUGGCAUUGUCUCUAAGGUGGCACCGGUUCGAUCCCCUGCCUGAUGCAGUGCGUUUAGGAUUCAGUGUUGCUGUAGCUGUGGCAUAGGUCAUAGCUACGGCUCAGAUUGAAUCCCUAUCCCAGGAACUUCCAUAUGCAUGGGUGUGGCAAAAAAAAAAAAAAA